GAAAAGAAACUACAAGGAUUCCCCUAGUAACUGCGAGUGAAGCGGGAAAAGCUCAAAUUUAAAAUCUGGCGGUCCUUGUGGCCGUCCGAGUUGUAAUCUGGAGAAGCGUUUUCCGCGUCGGACCGUGUACAAGCUCUUCUGGAACGGAGCGUCAUAGAGGGUGAGAAUCCCGUCUCUGACACGGACUGCCGAUGCUUUAUGUGAUACGCUCUCGAAGAGUCGAGUUGUUUGGGAAUGCAGCUCAAAAUGGGUGGUAAAUUCCAUCUAAAGCUAAAUAUUGGCGAGAGACCGAUAGCGAACAAGUACCGUGAGGGAAAGAUGAAAAGCACUUUGGAAAGAGAGUUAAACAGUACGUGAAAUUGUUGAAAGGGAAACGUUUGAAGUCAGUCGCGUCGGCCGAGACUCAACCUUGCUCUUCUGCUCGGUGUACUUCUCGGUUGACGGGUCAGCAUCAAUUUUGACCGUCGGAUAAAGGCCGAGGGAAUGUGGCAUCCUCCGGGAUGUGUUAUAGCCCUUGGUUCGCAUACGACGGUCGGGAUUGAGGAACUCAGCAUGCCUUUACGGUCGGGGUUUCCACCCACGUUUACAUGCUUAGGAUGCUGGCAUAAUGGCUUUAAGCGACCCGCUUUGGAAACACGGACCAAGGAGUCUAACAUGCCCG
rnacentral:rRNA from 1 species